UUUAUCAGCUCUCCUGCACUGGCUAGUCCUGAUAGGCAAUCAAGGCUUGAAAGUUAAUGAUUUCCCCCUGUGAAAACUCCAGGAGCCAAGCUGCAGGGCUGGGCUUUGUCCUUGAUCAACACUUGCAACCUGCUCUCCAUCCAGCCCUACAAUAUGAAGUACAAAAUGCCUUAGAGCACAAGGUCACAUCCUUUGCAUCUGGUAUUACCCAAAUGCAGAAUGAGGCCAAAGCCUGACAGCAACAAGAGAACUUCUCCAUACAACCCGGCUCAAGUGUCCUGGUGAACUAUUCAAGACAGUCUCAAAAUUCAUUCACUGUAUGUACAACGAGGCAAAUCACAGGGAAAUAAAACAGCAACCAAAAAAAAAUCCCAACCCAAUGUAUAUCCAGGGCUUGAAAUGAUUACAAUGAAUUGAUGAAUUGCAAUAGUUUUGUAUCAUUCAUGAAUUUUAAAGGAUUUACCUUCUGUCUGCUUCAAACCUUGGAAAAGCCCUAGCCUCAUCUACAGAGCCUGUGAUAUCCAUUUAAUCACAUUCCAGUGCCUGUGAUGUCUUGCAACAGAACUAACUGAACAACUGCCACAGCAUUCACCUGGGAUAAAACAAAAUAAAGCUCUCCAAAAGCAUUAGCAAGUUUUAA